rnacentral:rRNA from 1 species
UACGUAGGCAGCAAGCGUUGUUCGGAAUUACUGGGCGUAAAGAGUGUGUAGGCGGUGCUCUAAGUUCGGUGUGAAAUCUCCCGGCUCAACUGGGAGGGUGCGCCGAAUACUGAAUGACUAGAGUGCGGGAGAGGAAAGUGGAAUUCCUGGUGUAGCGGUGAAAUGCGUAGAUAUCAGGAGGAACACCGGUGGUGUAGACGGCUUCUGGACCGUAACUGACGCUGAGACACGAAAGCGUGGGUAGCAAACAGG